UGGGGAAUCUUGGGCAAUGGGGGAAACCCUGACCCAGCGACGCCGCGUGAGGGAAGAAGGUCUUCGGAUUGUAAACCUUUGUGACAGGGGACGAAGGAAGUGACGGUACCCUGUGAGGAAGCCCCGGCUAACUACGUGCCAGCAGCCGCGGUAAUACGUAGGGGGCGAGCGUUGUCCGGAAUUACUGGGCGUAAAGGGCGCGUAGGCGGUUGAAUAAGUCUGUUGUGAAAUUCCAAGGCUUAACUUUGGCAGUGCAAUGGAAACUGUUCGACUUGAGUACGGCAGAGGCAAGUGGAAUUCCCAGUGUAGCGGUGAAAUGCACAGAGAUUGGGAGGAACACCAGUGGCGAAGGCGACUUGCUGGGCCGAAACUGACGCUGAGGCGCGAAAGCGUGGGGAGCAAACAGG
rnacentral:rRNA from 1 species